rnacentral:rRNA from 1 species
CCUACGGGAGGCAGCAGUGAGGAAUAUUGGUCAAUGGUCGGGAGACUGAACCAGCCAAGCCGCGUGAGGGAGGAAGGUACAGAGUAUCGUAAACCUCUUUUGUCAGGGAACAAAGACUUCGACGCGUCCCCGGAUGAGUGUACCUGAAGAAAAAGCAUCGGCUAACUCCGUGCCAGCAGCCGCGGUAAUACGGAGGAUGCGAGCGUUAUCCGGAUUUAUUGGGUUUAAAGGGUGCGUAGGCGGACUGUAAAGUCAGCGGUCAAAGCCCGGGGCUCAACGCCGGGCCGCCGUUGAAACUGGCAGUCUCGAGUUGGCGAGAAGUAUGCGGAAUGCGCGGUGUAGCGGUGAAAUGCAUAGAUAUCGCGCAGAACUCCGAUUGCGAAGGCAGCAUGCCGGCUCCACACUGACGCUGAGGCACGAAAGCGUGGGUAUCGAACAGGAUUAGAUACCCCUAUAGUC